UGUUGACGAGUAAAAAGAAAUCAAGGGUUCAGGUGGGGUUGUGUCGCAGGGGAGAUGGCUGGUCCAUGCAUGCCUAUGCUAUGCCAUGCACAUAUGCAUCAGCCAUCUUACCGCGGCAGUACUUUAUCUAAUCUUUAUAUUUGAGCUAAUGGGAUUGAGACACGAGAUUAAAGUUUAGUUGGCUUCUCAUACGAUUAUAAAGAUUGUUGAUAUGGUAGAAAGAGCCAAAAUGGCAGAGCAAGCAAUGGGAUUAGAUAAAGAGAAAGUGGAUGACAAAUCUCAAAGAAAGAGGCCGAUCGAUUCUAGCUUACAGCCACCUUCUAAACAAGCUAGAGAUUUAAGAAGUCAAGGGAGAUUUACUACACUUCAGAUUGAUGCUGAGGGCAGAAACCGAUCUAGAUAGUCAUUUGCUCCAAUAGCCAGAAUAGACCAUCCUGGUCGUACUGUUUGGAUACCUCAAUGCGAUUAUUAUGGGAAGAUUCAUAAAGGAGAGUGAUGGCGUAAGAUCGGUGCAUAUAUUAGAUGUGGUUCAAUGGAGCAUUAUGUUCGAGAUUGUCCAAAGUCUGUUAAUGUUACCUCUAUGUCAUCUCAAAGAUCAACUUCCGCACCUCGAGGUUCUGGUAGUACCCGAGGUGGUGCCAGUGGCAAAGGCAUUCAGGGGAGAGUCACUGAUUCAUCUGUGAAUCAUGUAGAGGCUACUAUUCCUACCAUAGGUUAUACUGUCAGGACCAAAAAGGAUAAAAACAAAAUUUAUUUUUUAUCUCUACUCAGUUUUCAAAAUUGUUGUGUAACUUUUCAAUUGAAUUUGAUUUAAUGUUAUAUCAAUCACUCUUAAACCA